rnacentral:rRNA from 1 species
GUGAGGAAUUUUCCGCAAUGGGCGAAAGCCUGACGGAGCAAUGCCGCGUGAAGGAUGAAGGCCUAUGGGUUGUAAACUUCUUUUCUCAGAAAAGAAUUAUGACGGUAUCUGAGGAAUAAGCAUCGGCUAACUCUGUGCCAGCAGCCGCGGUAAGACAGAGGAUGCAAGCGUUAUCCGGAAUGAUUGGGCGUAAAGCGUCUGUAGGUUGUUUAAAAAGUAUUCUGUCAAAGAUUAGGGCUUAACCCUAGAUAGGCAGAAUAAACUUUUAAGCUAGAGUUUGGUAGAGGCAGAGGGAAUUCCCGGUGGAGCGGUGAAAUGCGUAGAUAUCAGGAGGAACACCAAAGGCGAAGGCACUCUGCUGGGCCAAUACUAACACUGAGAGACGAAAGCGAGGGGAGCAAAUGGGAUUAGAUACCCUAGUAGUCC